rnacentral:rRNA from 1 species
AGAACGAACGCUGGCGGCAUGCCUAACACAUGCAAGUCGAACGAGACCUUCGGGUCUAGUGGCGCACGGGUGCGUAACGCGUGGGAAUCUGCCCUUAGGUACGGAAUAACAGUGAGAAAUUACUGCUAAUACCGUAUGAUGUCUUCGGACCAAAGAUUUAUCGCCUAGGGAUGAGCCCGCGUUGGAUUAGCUAGUUGGUGGGGUAAAAGCCUACCAAGGCGACGAUCCAUAGCUGGUCUGAGAGGAUGAUCAGCCACACUGGGACUGAGACACGGCCCAGACUCCUACGGGAGGCAGCAGUGGGGAAUAUUGGACAAUGGGCGAAAGCCUGAUCCAGCAAUGCCGCGUGAGUGAAGAAGGCCUUCGGGUUGUAAAGCUCUUUUACCCGGGAAGAUAAUGACUGUACCGGGAGAAUAAGCCCCGGCUAACUCCGUGCCAGCAGCCGC